rnacentral:rRNA from 1 species
AUUGAACGCUGGCGGCAGGCUUAACACAUGCAAGUCGAGCGGGGUGAUGGUGCUUGCACUAUCACUUAGCGGCGGACGGGUGAGUAAUGCUUAGGAAUCUGCCUAUUAGUGGGGGACAACAUUUCGAAAGGAAUGCUAAUACCGCAUACGUCCUACGGGAGAAAGCAGGGGAUCUUCGGACCUUGCGCUAAUAGAUGAGCCUAAGUCGGAUUAGCUAGUUGGUGGGGUAAAGGCCUACCAAGGCGACGAUCUGUAGCGGGUCUGAGAGGAUGAUCCGCCAGACUGGGACUGAGACACGGCCCAGACUCCUAGGGGAGGCAGCAGUGGGUAAUAUCGGACAAUGGGCGGAAGCCUGAUCCAGCCAUGCCGCGUGUGUGAAGAAGGCCUUAUGGUUGUAAAGCACUUUAAGCGAUGAGGAGGCUACUUUAGUUAAUACCUAGAGAUAGUGGACGUUACUCGCAGAAUAAGCACCGGCUAACUCUGUGCCAGCCGCCGCAGUAAAAC